AGUGAACGCUGGCGGUAGGCCUAACACAUGCCAGUCGAACGGCAGCACAGUAAGAGCUUGCUCUUACGGGUGGCGAGUGGCGGACGGGUGAGGAAUACAUCGGAAUCUACUUUUUCGUGGGGGAUAACGUAGGGAAACUUACGCUAAUACCGCAUACGACCUACGGGUGAAAGCAGGGGAUCUUCGGACCUUGCGCGAUUGAAUGAGCCGAUGUCGGAUUAGCUAGUUGGCGGGGUAAAGGCCCACCAAGGCGACGAUCCGUAGCUGGUCUGAGAGGAUGAUCAGCCACACUGGAACUGAGACACGGUCCAGACUCCUACGGGAGGCAGCAGUGGGGUAUAUUGGACAAUGGGCGCAAGCCUGAUCCAGCCAUACCGCGUGGGUGAAGAAGGCCUUCGGGUUGUAAAGCCCUUUUGUUGGGAAAGAAAAGCAGCAGGUUAAUACCCCGCUGUUCUGACGGUACCCAAAGAAUAAGCACCGGCUAACUUCGUG
rnacentral:rRNA from 1 species